rnacentral:rRNA from 1 species
AUUCCAGCUCCAAUAGCGUAUAUUAAAGUUGUUGCAGUUAAAAAGCUCGUAGUUGGAUUUGUGGCGUACGACGGGCUCCAGGCACUUGUUGUCUGAGUAGCUUGUCGUUGCCAUCCUUGGGUGGAAUCUGUGUGGCAUUAGGUUGUCGUGCAGGGGAUGCCCAUCUUUUACUGUGAAAAAAUUAGAGUGUUCAAAGCAGGCUUAUGCCGUUGAAUAUAUUAGCAUGGAAUAAUAAGAUAGGACUUUGUCGCUAUUUUGUUGGUUUGCGCGAUAAGGUAAUGAUUAAUAGGGACAGUUGGGGGUAUUCGUAUUCCAUUGUCAGAGGUGAAAUUCUUGGAUCUCUGGAAGACGAACUACUGCGAAAGCAUUUACCAAGGAUGUUUUC